GCAGAACAGCAACAUGACAUCGAUAUCGCAUUGUGCUCCUUGGGUGGUGUGAUUGCUGACCACAGGUCUUUAGUACUAGUCAACUUCUAAGUUCUAACAGAGGAUUGAGUAGGGUUAAAGUCGUAUUUGUAUCUUGUUGUACGUCUGGAUUCUGUACAGGCCUUAGCCGUGAUCAAGGCAGUCUCCAUCAACAGCUUCAGAAGAUACACGUAAAGAUACGGAGUAAUUUGACCAUGAGGACAAUAGCUGUUUCAAGCCAAUACUUCCACAUGUCCUUCAAAGUUCAUGUGACUCGAUUUGAGCACGACGAUAUGGAGUGAAGGGAAGGUGAGUGAGGAGAGUGGACGUGGAAGGAAUUCGCCAAACACAAGCUACCCGCAACUAGAAUGUGCUAUCGCCACGCAGAAUCAGGCAGCAAGGUCCAUGCACAGCUCUUCCUUCUUGUCUUGUCUAAGGCAUGAGGUGAACAUUGACGUGGUGUACUGUCUCUCUGAAGUACCACAUCCCGUGGUUGUAAAAUCAUAUCCAUCUCCAAGAAUUUUCCUUAUACAGUACCAUUACGGUACGAAGAUGUAGUCGUCAAGACCAACACUCCGAUCCGGUCCUGAUAACCAGUUCAAGAGCAUCAUCACCCGGUACCGGUGCGAGGACCUCAUCGUGGCCCACAUGCAAUAUGCGCCGCCUACAUUCGCCAGAUCAUAAAGCCCAAGGAGGGUCUGGCGCCGUGCAGAAUCAGUCGCCCACUCGUAAGGAUGGACACUAAACAAAUCAGUGACGUGCAGUUCGUCUCUGCUCACUCGUUCUCUUGUUUGCAUUUGUUCAGCAAGUUAUUCCUCUUCAUCACCUCAAAAACACUGGUAUUCCGACCACUAAAUUUGGUGUGGACCAGUCACCCGUUGCUGUUCCCGGAGCUGCAGCUGUGCCGGAUAGUGUUCCCUGUGGAUGUGAAUGCAUCAGCUCUGGCGACACUGUGCAAUGACUCACUGAGUCGCUGAGUUUGUCAUGCCUUGCUUGUACCUGUCUUCCCCCUCCUCUCCCCCUCCUCAUUAGUAUGGUUUCUGGUCCCAGCUGUUUAACCACUGUUCAGGCGUCGUGCAUGUAACGCGAAUGUGUGCCUGUACAGUCAUGUAUUGCCAUCAUUGCAAGAAUUAGAAGCAAUAUGCCGUAUCACGUGGUAUACCCAUCUCCGGACAUGGACAACUAAGUAUACUAGUAGCUGUUUCGACCUUCUCAACAUGCCUCGUUAGCGUUGUGCAUGUACAUGCAGACUUAUGACAUUGUACUGAUACAGGUGUCCUCUGCAUGUGCUGACGCCUUUCUUUAGAAUCCUCCUAGAUCCUGGCAGUGCUGCUUGCAGUGUUGUUAUGUUUGCGCUGGACAAUCCGACCUCUGGAGCUUUUCACCGUCUGCUCCCAGAAUAGAACAGGGACUCUCAAGAGUAAGAAGUCAGUGGAAGUUCAUCGCUGCAGACGUGACCUUGUGGUCCUGUGGGGCAGCAGGGUGUGAUGUCCGGUAGCUACCAGGUGAUGGGUAUGGAGCAAAACAAACUUGUCUGAGUGGAUAGCCCUGCGGAUUGGGCUAUGGUAACACGAAAAGUCACGAAGACCUCUAAUGACCUUUUCUGGAAUCAGUGUGCUGUGAACUGCCUGCAGGGAAGCAGUCAUUGGUGUACUCUAUUGCUCACGUGAUAACGCCUUCCGUGUGCUACACGUCACCUUGCUCUGGUACGCUGAUAGUGUCGCCAACAUGAGUUCCUAUCCAAACAAGGUAAUGCAAUAUCUAUUUCUGGAUGAACCGCCAAUGCUGUUCGCCGUAUACCCACCAUAGAUUAUAGGACAUGAUUUGCAGCAUAGGCGGGGCAGAUCUUCGCGUGUGGGAAUUCUUGCUGACAGCAUAGGAAACACCAUCGCUCAAAUCCUCCUGACAAUAUACCUGAUUGACUGCAAAGUGGGAAGUGUGAUUGCAUGUACAUCGAAGUACGUUGAGAGAGUUUUCUGAGUUUUUGUUGUGCCUGGUUUCCCAAUGCUCUAUAUCCAAUUCCUACUUGUUUGAUGGAAGGCAAUUACUUUGGCUUGGAGUGCUGUCUGAAAAACACGAGUUUUCCUAUUCAAGAGGCUCCAGAGACAGAAAAUAGAACCGGAGUGUAAAUAGUACACUCGACCAGCGUCUCGGAUUUUGUGUGACCAGCUGGGCAUUGUAUCACAAGACUAUGUGCAGAUAUACGAUAGCAUCAUGUUGAAAUCAGUUGUUCGCCCUUCGAUCUCCAGGGUUUACUCAUCAGUACAAUCACAUGUUUAUGUAGUGAGGCACGAAUUAAUCAAACAUCUGAAA